CGUCGGUAAGGUGAUAUGAACCGUUAUAACCGGCGAUUUCCGAAUGGGGAAACCCAGUGUGAUUCGUCACACUAUCAUUAACUGAAUCCAUAGGUUAAUGAGGCGAACCGGGGGAACUGAAACAUCUAAGUACCCCGAGGAAAAGAAAUCAACCGAGAUUCCCCCAGUAGCGGCGAGCGAACGGGGAGCAGCCCAGAGCCUGAAUCAGUGUGUGUGUUAGUGGAAGCGUCUGGAAAGGCGUGCGAUACAGGGUGACAGCCCCGUACACAAAAAUGCACAUACUGUGAGCUCGAUGAGUAGGGCGGGACACGUGGUAUCCUGUCUGAAUAUGGGGGGACCAUCCUCCAAGGCUAAAUACUCCUGACUGACCGAUAGUGAACCAGUACCGUGAGGGAAAGGCGAAAAGAACCCCGGCGAGGGGAGUGAAAAAGAACCUGAAACCGUGUACGUACAAGCAGUGGGAGCACGCUUAGGCGUGUGACUGCGUACCUUUUGUAUAAUGGGUCAGCGACUUAUAUUCUGUAGCAAGGUUAACCGAAUAGGGGAGCCGAAGGGAAACCGAGUCUUAACUGGGCGUUAAGUUGCAGGGUAUAGACCCGAAACCCGGUGAUCUAGCCAUGGGCAGGUUGAAGGUUGGGUAACACUAACUGGAGGACCGAACCGACUAAUGUUGAAAAAUUAGCGGAUGACUUGUGGCUGGGGGUGAAAGGCCAAUCAAACCGGGAGAUAGCUGGUUCUCCCCGAAAGCUAUUUAGGUAGCGCCUCGUGAAUUCAUCUCCGGGGGUAGAGCACUGUUUCGGCAAGGGGGUCAUCCCGACUUACCAACCCGAUGCAAACUGCGAAUACCGGAGAAUGUUAUCACGGGAGACAC
rnacentral:rRNA from 1 species